UCUCGAUUGGUCUAGUGGUCAGGAUACCUGCUUGUCACUCCGACUAAUUCGAUUCAUCUUGUGAAUUCGUCUUACUCUGGAGCAAGCCGCAGGUGGCCGGGGUUCGAUUCCCCGAUCGAGAG